rnacentral:rRNA from 1 species
UACGUAGGAGGCAAACGUUAUCCGGAUUUACUGGGCGUAAAGGGGGCGCGGGCGGCACUUCAAGUCGGAUGUGAAAUAUCCUGACUCAAUCAGGAAGGGUCAUUCGAUACUGGAGAGCUUGAGGGCAGCAGAGGGAGAUGGAAUUCCCGGUGUAGUGGUGAUAUGCGUAGAUAUCGGGAGGAACACCAGUGGCGAAGGCGGUCUCCUGGGCUGCUCCUGACGCUGAGGCCCGAAAGCGUGGGUAGCAAACCGG